UUUAUUUCAUGGUUUUGCCAACGUCUGCAUACAAGCCAAUAGGAAAUUUGUACUUAUUGAAAUCUAAAUUUUGUGGUUCACAUUUACCUAAAAAAUCCACAGUUUUUUUUUUUUUUUUUUUUUUUUUUUUUUUUAAUAUUAAACGUAUUUUAUUAACAAUCACCUGUUACCUCAACCCUUAGUUGCCCAGGGGAGCAACUAAGGGGGCCCCAAUUUUUACAGAAAAUCCAUAAAAAUUGAUACCCCAGGAAUAACAAUGAAUCAACAGUUCAUUCAGAAGUCCAUUUUUAGCUCACCUGGCCCAAAGGGCCAAGUGAGCUUUUCUCAGCACUUGGCGUCCGGCGUCCGGCGUCCGGCGUCUGUCGUCCGUCGUCCGUCGUCGUCUGGCGUCGUUAACUUUUACAAAAAUCUUCUCCUCUGAAACUACUGGGCCAAAUUUAACCAAACUUGGCCACAAUCAUCAUUGGGGUAUCUAGUUUAAAAAAUGUGUCCGUGACCGCGUCAACCAACCAAGAUGGCCGCCAUGGCUAAAAAUAGAACAUAGGGGUAAAAUGCAGUUUUUGGCUUAUAACUCAAAAACCAAAGCAUUUAGAGCAAAUCUGACAUGGGGUAAAAUUGUUCAUCAGGUCAAGAUCUAUCUGCCCUGAAAUUUUCAGAUGAAUCGGACAACCCGUUGUUGGGUUGCUGCCCCUGAAUUGGUAAUUUUAAGGAAAUUUUACUGUUUUUGGUUAUUAUCUUGAAUAUUAUUAUAGAUAGAGAUAAACUGUAAACAGCAAUAAUGUUCAGCAAAGUAAGAUUUACAAAUAAGUCAACCUGACCCAAAUGGUCAGUUGACCCCUUUAGGAGUUAUUGCCCUUUAUAGUCAAUUUUUAACCAUUUUUCGUAAAUCUUAGUAAUCUUUUACAAAAAUCUUCUCCUCUGAAACUACUGGGCCAAAUUUAACCAAACUUGGCCAUAAUCAUCAUUGGGGUGUCUAGUUUAAAAAAUGUGUCCGGUGACCCGGCCAACCAACCAAGAUGGCCGCCAUGGCUAAAAAUAGAACAUGGGGUAAAAUGCAGUUUUUGGCUUAUAACUCAAAAACCAAAGCAUUUAGAGCAAAUCUGACAUGUGGUAAAAUUGUUCAUCAGGUCAAGAUCUAUCUGCCCUGAAAUUUUCAGAUGAAUCGGACAUUCCGUUGUUGGGUUGCUGCCCCUGAAAUGGUGAUUUUAAGGAAAUUUUGUUGUUUUUGGUUAUUAUCUUGAAUUAUAUUAUAGAUAGAGAUAAACUGUAAACAGCAAUAAUGUUCAGCAAAGUAAGAUCUACAAAUAAGUCAACAUGACCAAAAUGGUCAGUUGACCACUUUAGGAGUAAUUGUCCUUUAUAGUAAAUUUUUAAUCAUUUUUCGUAAAUCUUAGUAAUCUUUUAGAAAAAUCUUCUCCUCUGAAACUACUGGGCCAAAUUUAACCAAACUUGGCCAUAAUCAUCAUUGGGGUAUCUAGUUAAAAAAGUGUGUUCGGUAACUCGGCCAAUAAACCAAGAUGGCCGCCAUGGCUAAAAAUAGAACAUGGGGGUAAAAUGCAGUUUUUGGCUUAUAACUCAAAAACCAAAUCAUUAAGAGCAAAUCUGACAGGAAGUAAAAUUGUUGAUCAGGUCACAAUCUAUCUGCCCUGGAAUUUUCAGAUGAAUCGGAUAAUCGGUUGUUAGGUUGCUGCCCCUGAAUUGGUAAUUUUGAGGAAAUUUUGCUGUUUUUUUUGUUAUUAUCUUGAAUAUUAUUAUAGAUAGAGAUAAACUGUAAACAGCAAUAAUGUACAGCAAAGUAAGAACUAAAAAUAAGUCAGCAUGACCAAAAUAGUCAAUUGACCCCCUAAGGAGUUAUUGCCCUUCAUAGUCAAUUUUUAACAAUUUUCUUAAAAUUUGAUGAUUUUUCAAUACAUUUUCCACAGAAAGUACUGUUAUAGAUAGAGGUAAUUGUAAGCAGCAAGAAUGUUUAGUAAAGUAAGAUCUACAAACACAUCACCAUUACUAAAACACAAUUUUGUCACGAAUCCAUCUGUGUCCAUUGUUUAAUAUUCACAUAGACCAAGGUGAGCGACACAGGCUCUUUAGAGCCUCUAGUUUUGAUAUAUUUUCUCAUGAUACAAUAUUUUAUUUUUGUAGCAAAACACGGACCCCAAAUAUAGGUACAAUCUAAAAUCUGCUUUAACUGGGGAUUUUGGUUAUUUUUAAAACUUUAAGCAUAACUUUUACAACUCUCUUAGUUAUUGACUUCUGAUAUAAUAUGUAUAUAAGAGUUCACAAAGUCAAACCAGUUAAUACAUGUAAAUUGUCAUGACUUAAUUUGCUGUCUUCAAACUGUCAGAUAUAGAGUUGUCAAAACUGCAUUGGGUGAAUGAAACUGUAUGAAUUGACUUAUUACAUACACUGUAAACCAAUUCAUUUAUUUAAACUAUAUCUCAUUUGUAUUUGUCAGGCCCGUGGUAGAUGACUUUAUUAAGCUGUAUUAUUUUUCUAUUUUCUAUUUGUUGUUGUAUAUCCCUAUAGGAAAUCCAAGUUUGACAUAUUUUGAACAUUUUAAUUUUUCAUGAGAGAGUCAUGUAAAUAAAGUCUCUCAUAAAAAUAAGAUGGUUCAUAGAAAUUGUACAUAAUAAUUAAAUGGAAAAGAUGAUGUUACAGCUAAUAGUUUGUGCAUAUUCAAGUUAUAUUCCUGUUUCAAAAAGUCCUAUAGAAAUCUCGAAUUUGAUCUGAAAUUGAAGUUUAAUUUGAAUUAUUAUCUUUCCUGACAAUUUGUUUCUGCAAUAAAAAGCAAGGGUAAGAAAAUUGCAUACAAAACUAAUACAGUGAAAUCUGUGUAUAAAUGUCAAUGGUAAAACCAUAGAAAUCUGACCUAAUGCUAGAGGUGACCCUUGAAAUAUAUAUAUUAAUUUCUGUGUCAUGUGGUCUCUGUUGAAGAGUUGUCUCAUUUGCAAUCAUACCACAUCUUCUUUUUUAUACAUAAGUAUAACUUAAGGUGGUACCUAAAAUUAGUUUGGCUCGUUUAAUUUUCAUAAAAUUUUGACAAACAUUUACUUUGAUCCUUUGACAAAAAUAUAAAAAUUUCAAAAUCUUUGAACCAUACACUUUCUCGGAAAAUUUGCAUUGGAUAUAUAGCAGUUUGACAAUCAUGAAUUUUGAUUAUUGAGAAGCUUAAAUUUCCUUAACAAUACAAUGUGAUUAAAACGUUUACCUGAUUUUACAGAGUUAUCUCCCUGUAGUGUUAGGUACCACCUUAGUGGGGCACUAAGAAUUUAACCUGAGAAGACAGGUUUUAACUUAUUAGAGGUUACCAUUAUAUAUAAAAAGAAGAUGUGGUAUGAUUGCCAAUGGGACCACUGUCCACAAGAGACCAAAUGACAUAGAAAUUUACAACUAUAUGUCAAUGUAUGGCCUUCAACAAUGAGCAAAGCCCAUACUGCAUACACAUUUUCUCUGCUUUCAAACUGAUUUUGGUAAGGAUUAUGCUGAAAGUAAUGAAUAAGGAGACUUUACAAUCAAAAACAUAAUGAAAACGAUAUACUAUAUGAAAAAAGUAACAUAACAACAAAAAGACCUUGUCUAUGUGUUGGAACAAUAGGCUUCUAUCAUAGAGAUGAUUUUAUUUCUUAUUUUACUCUAGAACAACUUUUUUAGAGUUUGAUGUUUUUAAGUAUGAACAGUGGCGGAUCCAGAACUUUUCCUAAGGGGGGCUCCGCUUCAGUCAUGCUUCAAUGAUUCCCUAUAUAAUCAACCAAAUUUUUCCCACGAAAGGGGGGGGCUCGGCCCCCCUGGAUCCGCCUAUGAUGAACAAAGGGCAUUAUAUUUGUGUACAGAAAUGAAUAGAUUCAACACUGUUUAUGUACAACAUUUUGUUUUAUUUAUAUGAUUAAUCAAUUUCAUGUUAGAAAAAAAUGAUUAAAUAAAUUGAUUAGGUUUAAUUUAGGAUUGGAGUGAUUUUCAACAGAUGAUUUCUUUUCCAUUUAUAAAUGGCAACCUCAUGUUUUAUAAUUAGAUUUACUUCAAACCUCUCACAACAAGUUUACUUGUGAAAUACAAUCUUUUGGUGCUUAAAAACAUUGAAUUCUUUUUGAAAGAAAAGUUCUAGAACUCAAAUGUAUAAACAACUUUAUUGUAUAAAGUUUUUGCAUAACUAUAUAUAUAAAUAUAUAUUAUACAUGUAUAUGUAUGAAAUCCAUAGUAUUGAUUAUUUUUACUUUUAUAUUCAGAUUUGUUUAAUGUUAUUGCUAUUUAUCAUCUUUGAGGUGAUUGGUCAAAUUGUAUAUGAACAUAGUAUAAAGUUGUCACAUGUUUAGACGUGUAUAAUAAAAUUUUAAAAUUUGAUAUGGGGACAUGGAAAUCACAUUAUCAUCUUUAACGACAGACAAAAUAACUGAUCUGAAAUGUACACCAUCUAUUUGCCACUACCCUGGUAUACACCCUGUACUGUUUUACAACCCUCAUUAAAGCCACGAGUAAAGGCACUACAUCAACCACGAAAGCUAUAUUUUUAUGUAUCCUAACUGGUCUAGUAGUCCAGGGCACUGGGCACUGUGCAUGCAGUGUUGCCACAAUGUCAAAGAAGCAAGGGUUUGAAUCCAGCAGAGGGAAGAAAAAAGUUGGCUAACACGAACAAUGGGCAUAAUUCUCCCGACUCAAAUUUUCUCCUAUUGAAAUUGAAGUUUUUUAUUUUAAUUGUUUAAAAUAAAAGAAAUAUUCUGAAAAUAUUUUAUACUAAAAAAAGAAUUUCAGUUUAUGUUCCAAACAGAAUAAAGGUAUAGAAUAUUUGAACAGAAUUAUAGCAUUGUUUUUGGCAAAGUUUUCUUAAAAAAACCUGUUAUGUCAGAAGUCACAGCAAUCUCUGAAUAUGCUGAUCAGUUCUUAGCUUUAUAAAAUGUGGAAAACAUGCAAUCAUGGAUUUGAAUAAAAGUAAACGAGAGGUAUUAUGCAGUUGAAAAUCAAUGUUCUAUCUCCAAUAGAAAUACCGGGAUAAAUUUCUGAAACAACAUUUAUUUCGUGUUUUACCCUUUCAAGAACAAUUCGGGGCUUUUAAAUUUUGCGAUUUUUUUAAUUAACUUGCUGCAGUUUAAUAAGGCAAGAUCCUAGUCUAAUAUAUUCACGACAAUUUAUUCGCAACGACUUAUAUUCACGUUAUUUUUCUACCCACGAAAGUCACGAAAAUAAAUCCCUCGCGAAAAUAAAUUGGCUUACAGUACUUUUCAUGUAAGUAAAAGAUUCAUAUACGUCUCAGUCAAAUAUUUAUGGAACUGCUCUUUUUAAGUUUACUAGAAAUUUGUACUACUUUUACCAAAUGGCAAAUACAUAAGAUUCACACAACA
rnacentral:lncRNA from 1 species